rnacentral:rRNA from 1 species
UCGGCUUAGAGUUUGAUCAUGGCUCAGAUUGAACGCUGGCGGCAGGCUUAACACAUGCAAGUCGAGCGGUAGGGGAGCUUGCUCCCCACGAGCGGCGGACGGGUGAGUAAUGUCUGGGAAACUGCCUGAUGGAGGGGGAUAACUACUGGAAACGGUAGCUAAUACCGCAUAACGUCGCAAGACCAAAGAGGUUCGCCUUGCCAUCAGAUGUGCCCAGAUGGGAUUAGCUAGUAGGUGGGGUAAUGGCUCACCUAGGCGACGACCCCUAGCUGGUCUGAGAGGAUGACCAGCCACACUGGAACUGAGACACGGUCCAGACUCCUACGGGAGGCAGCAGUGGGGAAUAUUGCACAAUGGGCGCAAGCCUGAUGCAGCCAUGCCGCGUGUGUGAAGAAGGCCUUCGGGUUGUAAAGCACUUUCAGCGAGGAGGAAGGUGGUGAGUAAUCUCAUCAAUUGACGUUACUCGCAGAAGAAGCACCGGCUAACUCCGUGCCAGCAGCCGCGGUAAUACGGAGGGUGCAAGCGUUAAUCGGAAUUACUGGGCGUAAAGCGCACGCAGGCGGUUUGUUAAGUCAGAUGUGAAAUCCCCGGGCUCAACCUGGGAACUGCAUUUGAAACUGGCAAGCUAGAGUCUCGUAGAGGGGGGUAGAAAUCC